ensembl:lncRNA
CCUCCUGCGGGAUUCACUGGAGCUCUGCCCGCAGGUGGUGGGGUGACAUGCAUGCAGGUUGAGCUGCUGUUGGAAGGAGGCCCCUUGGCUCCUGUUGGCCAGGGACCAUGAACCCAGCGCUGUGACAUUUCUGCACUUGGAAAAGCCCUCUGAUGUCUUUGCUAAGGGUUUCCAUGAAAACUGCUUCAACAUCCAGCUUUUCAUGUUGCAAUCAAAUCAGAGAGUGAGAAAGUCUUAAGCAAGAGAGAAUAAAGACAGCUUCAAAUGCAAGGAUCAGACCAGAUUUCACAGCAGACCGGAGCUGUCUGUCUUCAGCCGCAGCUCCUGCUGGCUGUGUUUCCUAACAGAGGAUCCCUCUCUUUGACUUUCUCUUGUGAGAUCAUCCGGAAGCACGUGCACCAGAGAGUUGGAAUGACGCCAUUAAAAAUAUUGAUACUGGUGCGGAGUUGUUUGCGUCUUAGCCUGUGCGCUGCUCUAACGGCACACUGGCACACAUGGCAUUUUGCUUGAGUAAUUACAGAAGCCAGCAGAUGUUUAGGGUGAGUUGGCUGUUUAUUGACGUGGGACGCACAGCCUCACUGAUGGGGGCUUCUGGAAUCACAGCCCUUUGUCAUCCAAUCGGUGCUCCUUCCUGGGAGUGAGCAGAGACCCUGCAAGAGAGCCAGGCCCUCAGCUCAGGUCUGAGAAGCACCCCCAGUCAUACUCCCUGCAGAGUCCACAUGCCGCAGAGCCCAUCUGGGCAGAGAAGAACAUUCUAACUCCAAGUCAGGAUUUGAUUAUUGAGUGCGAUCUGACCAUUGUUAAUUGCUGAAUUGGGACUGCCUGCAUUUGAAAGUGACUAUAGAAAUCUUUAUUGCCUACGAGUGACCAGAAGAACCAUGUUGAUUAUUUAAGAUUUCAUCCAAGAAGGACCACUUCCACUGAGGAGGUCUCACUUAGGAUGCUGACUCCUGGCCUGGUACGAUGCUGACUACUGAUGCCAGAAGAUGAUAGCAGAAGCUGCUCCUCAACCUUUCCUCCUGGUCACAGGGCCUUCAGGAUCAUUAAACCCUUCACCAAGAUAGCGCAAUGGAAGUGGUGAUUAUGAAAGCUUCUGGAAAUGGCCCAGGAGUGUAGGAGAAUGAAGAGCACAGACAAGGUUGAGAAGGAAGGAAAAAGGACCUGCUGGAUUUAGUACUGGAUCCAGACUAAUGAGAACCAGUGCUCAAGGUUGAGCCCACAGGAGUUCCUGGUACAACCUCUGAAGUUAGGAUGGGGCCAUUCUUGGAGGGAUGGAAAAUCCACAGUUAUCAGUUCAGUUCAGUCGCUCAGUCGUGUCCAACUCUUUGCGACCCCAUGAAUCACAGCACACCAAGCCUUCCUGUCCAUCACCAACUCCCAGAGUUCACUCAACCUCACGUCCAUCAAGUCGAGGAUCCCAUCCAGCCAUCUCAUCCUCUGUCAUCCCCUUCUCCUCCUGCCCCCAAUUCCUCCCAGCAUCAGAGUCUUUUCCAAUGAGUCAACUCUUCGCAUGAGGUGGCCAAAGUACUGUUUCAGCUUUAGCAUCAGUCCUUCCAAAGAACACCCAGGGCUGAUCUCCUUUAGAAUGGACUGGUUGGAUCUCCUUGCAGUCCAAGGGACUCUCAAGAGUCUUCUCCAACACCACAGUUCAAAAGCAUCAAUUCUUCGGCACUCAGCUUUCUUCACAG